rnacentral:rRNA from 1 species
AACGAACGCUGGCGGCAGGCUUAACACAUGCCAGUCGAGCGCCCCGCAAGGGGAGCGGCAGCCGGGUGAGUACCGCGUGGGAACGUACCUUUUGGUUCGGAACAACUCCGGGAAACUGGAGCUAAUACCGGAUAAGCCCUAACGGGGAAAGAUUUAUCGCCGAAGGAUCGGCCCGCGUCUGAUUAGCUAGUUGGUGAGGUAACGGCUCACCAAGGCGACGAUCAGUAGCUGGUCUGAGAGGAUGAUCAGCCACACUGGGACUGAGACACGGCCCAGACUCGUACGGGAGGCAGCAGUGGGGAAUAGUGGAAAAUGGGCGCAAGCCUGAUCCAGCCAUGCCGCGUGAGUGAUGAAGGCCUUAGGGUUGUAAAGCUCUUUUGUCCGGGAAGAUAAUGACGGUACCGGAAGAAUAAGCCCCGGCUAACUUCGUG